rnacentral:misc_RNA from 1 species
UUUCCGUAGGUGAACCUGCGGAAGGAUCAUUAUCGUACAAAAUGUGAGGGGCAUGCGAGGGCUGUCGCUGACCCAAAAGUCAUGCACGCCCGAGUGUGUCCUCUUGCAUAAUAAUCCAUCUCACCCUUUGUGCAUCACCGCGUGGGCACCCUUCGGGAUCAUCUCGGUGGGGGCUCGCGUUUUCACACAAACCCCCCUUUUAAAAGUGUAGAAUGACCACAUUUAUGCAAUCAAUACAACUUUCAACAACGGAUCUCUUGGCUCUC